CCUCUCUCAGGAUCACACCUGGAGAGUUUCCAGUACUCUACUGGCCUUGGCUAUGGGAGGAAGAGUCAAGCAGAGGCCUUCCCAUUCCAUUCCUAGCUUGGGCAGUGGCUAGCAAAUAGAAGGCAAUUUGCUACAAGU